rnacentral:rRNA from 1 species
AAAAAAAAUUUUUAUAGUUUUGAUAUUUUAUUUUAAAUAUAAUUUACAUAUAAAUUUUAGUGUUAAAUUUUAUUUAUUUUAAUAAUAAAUAAAAUUAUUAAGUAGUAAUUAACUUUAAAUUAUUUAAGAAAUUAAGAUUUAGUAAUUUG